rnacentral:rRNA from 1 species
AAAGCUCUUUUGUCAGGGAAGAAACACCGGCUCUAACACAGUCCGGGAAUGACGGUACCUGAAGAAUAAGCACCGGCUAACUACGUGCCAGCAGCCGCGGUAAUACGUAGGGUGCGAGCGUUAAUCGGAAUUACUGGGCGUAAAGCGUGCGCAGGCGGUUAUACAAGACAGGCGUGAAAUCCCCGGGCUUAACCUGGGAAUGGCGCCUGUGACUGUAUAGCUAGAGUGUGUCAGAGGGGGGUAGAAUUCCACGUGUAGCAGUGAAAUGCGUAGAUAUGUGGAGGAAUACCAAUGGCGAAGGCAGCCCCCUGGGAUAACACUGACGCUCAUGCACGAAAGCGUGGGGAGCAAACAGGAUUAGAUACCCUGGUAGUCCACGCCCUAAACGAUGCUGACUAGUUGUUCGGGAUUUACAUCCUGAGUAACGUAGCU